rnacentral:rRNA from 1 species
GAUGAACGCUGGCGGCGUGCCUAAUACAUGCAAGUCGAGCGAAUGGAUUGAGAGCUUGCUCUUAUGAAGUUAGCGGCGGACGGGUGAGUAACACGUGGGUAACCUGCCCAUAAGACUGGGAUAACUCCGGGAAACCGGGGCCAAUACCGGAUAACAUUUUGAACCGCAUGGUUCGAAAUUGAAAGGCGGCCUCGGCUGUCACUUAUGGAUGGACCCGCGUCGCAUUAGCUAGUUGGUGAGGUAACGGCCCACCAAGGCAACGAUGCGUAGCCGACCUGAGAGGGUGAUCGGCCACACUGGGACUGAGACACGGCCCAGACUCCUACGGGAGGCAGCAGUAGGGAAUCUUCCGCAAUGGACGAAAGUCUGACGGAGCAACGCCGCGUGAGUGAUGAAGGCUUUCGGGUCGUAAAACUCUGUUGUUAGGGAAGAACAAGUGCUAGUUGAAUAAGCUGGCACCUUGACGGUACCUAACCAGAAAGCCACGGCUAACUACGUGCCAGCCGCCGCGGUAA